rnacentral:sRNA from 1 species
ACUUAGCCCUGAUAGUAAUGAAAAUCCUUUAUUGUUUUUUUAAACAAUAAAGAUUGAAAAGGAUAGCAGGAAUUAGC